ACAUGAUGAAGCAUUUUUCUCCCCCAUUUAAAGAUCCAGUCAUGUUCCAGUUUGCAGGGGCAGAAGGGCUGGUUUGCAGUUGGUGCUGGGAGGAUAGAGCAUGCAGAAGUCCCUGGGCCAGGAAUGGAACCUGUGCCACAGAAGCAACCCAAGCCAAUGCUGGUGACGAUGCUGGUUCCUUAACCCACUGAGUCACUGGGGAAACUCCUCAUUGGUCUUUCUUAAGGGACCAGUUCUAGCAAUUAGAUGAGGCUGGCCAUUACCAGUGGUCUAGGACUGUUGUAUUCUUAUUAUCUAGUGCAAGAAGCUAAGCAAUAAUAGGACUCAAGUCUAUCUGCUAAGAAGGGGAAGAGGUAACUCUGCUUUUACUCCUUUUUCAUUCCAGCAAGUCUAUGAAGUAGAUGCUGUUAGUAUCCCCACUUCAUGGUUUGGGAAAUGGAGGAUCAGAGAGGUUGGGUGACUUGCCCCAGGUCACAGCUAGUGGUGGAGCUGGGAUUCAAACCCAGGUCUGCGAGGCUCCACAGCAGGUAUUCUCAACUACAAGAGUGUGCUACCACCUCUCACAUUCAUAGGAAGGCCAGCUGAGUUCCCACAGGACCACUGCUUUACAACUGGACCUAUCACUUUCCUGGUCCUAUCACCCCUGGCUGGAGCUUUGCUCUGGGGGUUCCUUCUGGCAUCUUGGUGGAAGCAAGGGGGGUUGAUAACUGGCAUUGUCUUGAAGGAGGAGGCUUUCCAGGCAGGCAGAAAGUUGAAAUGACUGCUGACUCAGCUAUCUGGAUGUCCUUACCUGAGGAGACAGGUAAAUAGACAGCAGUCAUGGAACCAUGAUUAAUGUUCAUAGAGUAGAUCUUACAUCCUCAAGAAAACAAUUUUGGCAACUUUUGUGUGGUGAGUACAUGCCUCCUGUGUGCUGGCUUCCUGCAUACAUGGUGUCUGCCACAACUGCCCUAGGUCUGCAGGGUCGUCCUCCAGUACAGAGUAGGAUACCUAGCAGAGAAAGAAAGUGACCUGCCAAGGUCAGAGAACAAGGUGGUGGAGGGGCUGUGGCACACACUUAGGCCUCCUGCACUUCCCAAUAUUUCACAAUGGCCCUCAGAAAAAAAUACUUCAGUGAUGCUUCAUCUCUUUAUUCAGGAGGAGAAAGCUGUGCUUAGUACAUUUUAGAAAGCUUCUAUGCCAAUGAGUUUAAAUUGGGGUGUUGGGGCUUAGGGGGAGAACUAUCAGUUGAGUGAAAGUUCAUUUCCAGUGGUCAGUGUUGGCAGAUGAAUGAGGCAUUAUUUGGCCUUAAAGAGGCCCCUGUAAGUGGGCACAGCUGGGGCCUGGUGGAUGUGAAGCUUGCUUUGCUGGGGGGCAGCUGCAUCCUGGCUGGUUCCUCUGAAGUCAGGCUGCAUGAGAACACAUAGGCCCUGGCAGCAUCCUGGCACCACCCAAAGCAGCAAACACCAGCAGCAAGGACACAUGCCAGGAAAGUUUCUGCAACCUCUUCCUCGGCCCUGAGCUAGGCGCCUGCCAUGGACAGAAGACUGCAGGAGCCCACAGCAGACCUAGACAGACUGUUUCUUCCACAGAAUUAUCUCACUAAAUAACUCUCGCUAAAGCCUAACAAGACUUGUCAUCAAGCCCAUUUUCCGGAGGGAGAAACCGAGACUCCAAGAACUACAGAACCUAUUUCUGUGUCUCAAUACGUAGGCCGGCUCUCCGACUUGACGGAAUCGCUCUGGCAACAGCGCCCUCUAAAGGCGGAGGCGAGUAUGCCUGCGUAACAGUCGUGCCCCGUCCUUUGGCGCUGGAAAUGGCGGAGGGCUCCCUCUGGCUUCUGAGGAUUGUCCAGCGCCCCUCCGAGGUCCUGGAGAAGCCAGGAGCGCUGCCUACAACUCGGCCUUGACUUCCCCGCAGCCUUGGUCGCCGCAGCAUUGGGUCAGAGGCAUCCCUGGAGAUUGCAGAAAGUUAGCGGCGGCCCCUGUUGACGCAGCGAGUGACGGCCCGACAUACCCUGAUAGGCCACGGGGAGGGCCAGACGCAGAGCCUUGAAAGAAGGAGCUUGCGCUCUGGAAGGGGCGUGGCCAGCGCUCUUCCUCGAGGGCGGGGCUCUAGGGGAAGGGGCUCUUCUCUGGGAUAUUGUGCCACAAGCGAGGACACCCGUGCACCUAGCCCAGGGCCUGUGUCCUGGCGUCAGCGCAUCUGUGGGCAGCAACUUUACCCUCCCCAGACCUCAGUUUCUGCACCUGUAAGACGGAGGCUCUUCCACAACUGCAAAAAUCGGAGUUUCAUCCAGCAUUCUCAGAAUUCCUGUCUCCAGGCAGGCACUGAGGAAUCAGAGCUGCGUUCCUGUGGAGGCUCAGAGCUCUGAGAUCUCCUUCACUUGCUGCAUCAGUACUCCUGACACUGGAGAGUUCUGGAGGUUGGAGACCAGCCCCUUCCUGGUGGAACAGGCACCCUGUAGCCUGGGAUGUGACAGUCAUAUGACAGGGCCUGUAACAAGUAACAGUGGUAGCCCAAAUAUGUCGAGCACUUACUAUAUGCCUGGCUUUUCAUGAAGUCUGUCGCAUACGUUAUUUACACCCCCACCCGCACAGCCGUGUCUGGUGGUCCUGUUCUUGACAUCCUGUUUACUGAUGAGCCCAGAGUCACACAAUAGUAGCCAGUCCAAGGUCACCCAGCUAAUAAAUGGCUGAAGCAG
ensembl:lncRNA